CGGGCAAGCGCAUGCGCAUUGUAAGUACAAUUUGAAAUCCAGUGUUUACAAUGCCACGGAAGACGGGAAGCCGAGAAGAAAGUUAACAGUUUCUGUCCUUUCUCUGAAGAAGGAUGCACUGAAAACCAUUCACAGACUACAUGUACAGAUGUCCUAAUAAUUCAAAGUAUGGCCCAGAACCAGUAGACGGAGAUGCCGACCGCUAACUUCACAAGUUUAAAAAAUAAAUAAAUAAAGUAUGCAUUGAAAAAUA